AGUGAACGCUGGCGGUAGGCCUAACACAUGCAAGUCGAACGGCAGCACAGUAAGAGUUUGCUCUUACGGGUGGCGAGUGGCGGACGGGUGAGGAAUACAUCGGAAUCUACUUUUUCGUGGGGGAUAACGUAGGGAAACUUACGCUAAUACCGCAUACGAUCUACGGGUGAAAGCAGGGGAUCUUCGCACCUUGCGCGACUGAAUGAGCCGAUGUCGGAUUAGCUAGUUGGCGGGGUAAAGGCCCACCAAGGCGACGAUCCGUGGCUGGUCUGAGAGGAUGAUCAGCCACACUGGAACUGAGACACGGUCCAGACUCCUACGGGAGGCAGCAGUGGGGAAUAUUGGACAAUGGGCGCAAGCCUGAUCCAGCCAUACCGCGUGGGUGAAGAAGGCCUUCGGGUUGUAAAGCCCUUUUGUUGGGAAAGAAAAGCAGCAGGUUAAUACCCCGCUGUUCUGACGGUACCCAAAGAAUAAGCACCGGCUAACUUCGUG
rnacentral:rRNA from 1 species